rnacentral:rRNA from 1 species
CAGUAGCCGCGGUAAUACAAAGGGUGCAAGCGUUAAUCGGAAUUACUGGGCGUAAAGCGUGCGUAGGCGGUGAGUUAAGUCUGCUGUGAAAUCCCCGGGCUCAACCCGGGAAUGGCAGUGGAUACUGGCUCGCUAGAGUGUGUCAGAGGAUGGUGGAAUUCCCGGUGUAGCGGUGAAAUGCGUAGAGAUCGGGAGGAACAUCAGUGGCGAAGGCGGCCAUCUGGGACAACACUGACGCUGAGGCGCGAAAGCGUGGGGAGCAAACAGGAUUAGAUACCCCCGUAGUCCCUGUCUCUUAUAC